CCGGGCAGGCAGGUGUAGGGUGGAGCCCACUGUGGCUCCUGACUCAGCCCUGCUGCCUUCACCUGCCAG
ensembl:miRNA MIR6893 microRNA 6893